AUUGAACGCUGGCGGCAUGCUUUACACAUGCAAGUCGAACGGUAACAGGCCGCAAGGUGCUGACGAGUGGCGAACGGGUGAGUAAUGCAUCGGAACGUGCCCAGUCGUGGGGGAUAACUACUCGAAAGAGUAGCUAAUACCGCAUACGAUCUAUGGAUGAAAGCGGGGGACCGUAAGGCCUCGCGCGAUUGGAGCGGCCGAUGUCAGAUUAGGUAGUUGGUGGGGUAAAGGCUCACCAAGCCAACGAUCUGUAGCUGGUCUGAGAGGACGACCAGCCACACUGGGACUGAGACACGGCCCAGACUCCUACGGGAGGCAGCAGUGGGGAAUUUUGGACAAUGGGCGCAAGCCUGAUCCAGCAAUGCCGCGUGCAGGAAGAAGGCCUUCGGGUUGUAAACUGCUUUUGUACGGAACGAAACGGCUCUGGUUAAUACCCGGGGCUAAUGACGGUACCUUAAGAAUAAGCACCGGCUAACUACGUG
rnacentral:rRNA from 1 species